rnacentral:rRNA from 1 species
GCUGCAUGGCUGUCGUCAGCUCGUGUUGUGAAAUGUUGGGUUAAGUCCCGCAACGAGCGCAACCCUUAUCCUUUGUUGCCAGCGAUUCGGUCGGGAACUCAAAGGAGACUGCCGGUGAUAAACCGGAGGAAGGUGGGGAUGACGUCAAGUCAUCAUGGCCCUUACGAGUAGGGCUACACACGUGCUACAAUGGCGCAUACAAAGAGAAGCGACCUCGCGAGAGCAAGCGGACCUCACAAAGUGCGUCGUAGUCCGGAUCGGAGUCUGCAACUCGA